ACGACGCUGGCGGCGUGCUUAACACAUGCAAGUCGAACGGUGACGAGGAGCUUGCUCCUCUGAUCAGUGGCGAACGGGUGAGUAACACGUGAGCAACCUGCCCCAGACUCUGGGAUAACAGUUGGAAACAGCUGCUAAUACCGGAUACGAGACGGAGAGGCCAUCUCUACCGUCUGGAAAGUUUUUCGGUCUGGGAUGGACUCGCGGCCUAUCAGCUAGUUGGUGAGGUAAUGGCUCACCAAGGCGACGACGGGUAGCCGGCCUGAGAGGGCGACCGGCCACACUGGGACUGAGACACGGCCCAGACUCCUACGGGAGGCAGCAGUGAGGAAUAUUGGUCAAUGGGUGAGAGCCUGAACCAGCCAUCCCGCGUGCAGGAUGACGGUCCUAGUGAUUGUAAACUGCUUUUCUAUGAGAUGAAUAAGAAUUACGUGUAGUUCGAUGACCGUAUUAUAGGAAUAAGCAUCGGCUAACUCCGUG
rnacentral:rRNA from 1 species